rnacentral:rRNA from 1 species
CCUAGUGGUGACAUCAUUGAGGCAUCUUGGUCAAUGGGCGCGAGCCUGAACCAUCCCCUGCGCUUUCCGUCUUCCUUCCCUCCUUUUUUUCCCCUUCUUUUCUCCCUUCCUCAAGUGAGGCACGUGUGCCUUUUUGUAUGUACUUUAUGAAUAAGGAUCGGCUAACUCCGUGCCAGCAGCCGCGGUAAUACGGAGGAUCCGAGCGUUAUCCGGAUUUAUUGGGUUUAAAGGGAGCGUAGAUGGGUUGUUAAGUCAGUUGUGAAAGUUUGCGGCUCAACCGUAAAAUUGCAAUUGAUACUGGCAGUCUUGAGUACAGUUGAGGUAGGCGGAAUUCGUGGUGUAGCGGUGAAAUGCUUAGAUAUCACGAAGAACUCCGAUUGCGAAGGCAGCUUACUAAACUGCCACUGACAUUGAUGCUCGAAAGUGUGGGUAUCAAACAGGAUUAGAUACCCCUGUAGUC